rnacentral:rRNA from 1 species
UGGCGCACGCCUAACACAUGCAAGUCGAACGGACGAGAAAGAAGCUUGCUUUUUUCGAAGUUAGUGGCGGACGGGUGAGUAACACGUGAGGAACCUGCCUUAAGUNUGGGGGACACAGUUGGAAACGACUGCUAAUACCGCAUAACACUUUAGUACCGCAUGGUACAGAAGUCAAAGCUUAAUGUGCUGAGAGAUGGUCUCGCGUCUGAUUAGCUAGAUGGCGGGGUAACGGCCCACCAUGGCGACGAUCAGUAGCCGGUCUGAGAGGAUGAACGGCCACAUUGGGACUGAGAUACGGCCCAGACUCCUACGGGAGGCAGCAGUGGGGAAUAUUGGGCAAUGGGGGAAACCCUGACCCAGCAACGCCGCGUGAAGGAAGAAGGCCUUCGGGUUGUAAACUUCUUUUAGCAGGGACGAAGGACGUGACGGUACCUGCAGAAAAAGCAACGGCUAACUACGUG